rnacentral:rRNA from 1 species
UACAGAGGGUGCAAGCGUUAAUCGGAAUUAUUGGGCGUAAAGGGUGCGUAGGUGGUUUGAUAAGUUAGGUGUGAAAGUCCUGGGCUUAACCUGGGGAUUGCAUUUAAUACUGUUAGGCUUGAGUACUGUAGAGGAAGGUGGAAUUUCCGGUGUAGCGGUGAAAUGCGUAGAUAUCGGAAGGAACAUCAGUGGCGAAGGCGACUUUCUGGACAGAUACUGACACUGAGGCACGAAAGCGUGGGGAGCAAACAGG